rnacentral:rRNA from 1 species
CGUGGGUAACCUGCCCAAGAGAUCGGGAUAACACCUUGAAACAGAUGCUAAUACCGGAUAACAACAGAUGAUGCCUAUCAACUGUUUAAAAGAUGGUUCUGCUAUCACUCUUGGAUGGACCUGCGGUGCAUUAGCUAGUUGGUAGGGUAACGGCCUACCAAGGCGAUGAUGCAUAGCCGAGUUGAGAGACUGAUCGGCCACAUUGGGACUGAGACACGGCCCAAACUCCUACGGGAGGCAGCAGGG